rnacentral:rRNA from 1 species
UGGGGAAUAUUGGACAAUGGGCGCAAGCCUGAUCCAGCCAUGCCGCGUGAGUGAUGAAGGCCCUUAGGGGUUGUAAAGCUCUUUUCAGUGGGGAAAGAUAAUGACGGUACCCCACAGAAGAAGCCCCCGGCUAACUUCGUGCCAGCAGCCGCGGUAAUACGAAGGGGGCUAGCGUUGUUCGGAUUUACUGGGCGUAAAGCGCACGUAGGCGGAUCGUUAAGUCAGGGGUGAAAUCCCAGAGCUCAACUCUGGAACUGCCUUUGAUACUGGCGAUCUCGAGUCCGGAAGAGGUGAGUGGAACUCCUAGUGUAGAGGUGGAAUUCGUAGAUAUAGGAGAACACCAGUGGCGAAGGCGGCUCACUGGUCCGGAACUGACGCUGAGGUGCGAAAGCGUGGGGAGCAAACAGGAUUAGAUACCCCUGGUAGUCCACGCCGUAAACUAUGAGAGCUAGCCGUUGGAUGGUUUACCAUUCAGUGGCGCAGCUAACGCAUUAAGCUCUCCGCCUGGGGAGU